UGUAAAGUUCAAGCUCCUUGGAGGGCGAAACCGCGAAUGGCUCAUUAAAUCAGUCAUAAUCUACUUGAUUGUUUGAAAGUUAUAUGGAUAACUGUGGUAAUUCUAGAGCUAAUACAUGCAUAAAUGGGGCGACUCUAGCAAUAGAGAAGCUCUGCGUUUAUUAGACUAAGACCAAUGAGUGAGCAAUCACUCUCAAAAUAUGGUGACUCUGAGUAAAUAAUGGGUGAAAGCCCAUGAUGCCGACCUGGCCAUUAGAGCCAGGCGGGUCAAUCGAGUGUCUGCUCUAUCAACUGUGGAUGGUAGGAUAAUUGCCUACCAUGGUGAUGACGGGUAACGGGGAGUUAGGGCUCGACUCCGGAGAACAAGCCUGAGAAACGGCUAGUAGGACUAAGGUCUGCAGCAGGCGCGAAACUUACACAAUGCUAGAUUUUGUUAAUUAGCGAUGUAGUGAAGAAAAAUAACGAUGUACUUGUAUUUAAACAUACUAGUACAAUUGGAAUGAGACGACUCUAAACCAGUUAGUCGAGUAACAAAUGGAGGGCAAGUCUGGUGCCAGCAGCCGCGGUAAUUCCAGCUCCAUUAGCAUACAUUAAAGUUGUUGCGGUUAAAAAGCUCGUAGUUGAAGUUUUGGGUGUUUGUUAGAUGAUGUUUCAUUAAGGGAUCUUCGGAUCCUGAAACAACUAUCUAAUAGGCGCCGGUUUCGUCACUUAAUCGAGUGCGAAGCGGGGUCGAUUUGAAAUUUUUAACUAAAUUUUCAGAACGACCAUGUUUACCUUGAGAAAAUUAGAGUGCUCAGAGCAGGCAGUUUUGGUGUAAAAGCCGAUUUAUGCUUGAAUAAUGUUGCAUGGAAUAAUAGAAUACGGCCUCGGUUCUAUUCUGUUGGUCUUAUAGAACAACAAACAGGUGUGUUAUAAAGGCUGGGUAUAGGUUGUCUUAAAGGUAAAAAAUUUAAGUACCCUACCAUAAAACAGUCUUAACUAUCACCGGAGGCAAUGGUUAAAAGAAAUAGUCGCGGCGGCAUCAGUACUGCAUCGUGAGAGGUGAAAUUCUUAGACCGAUGCAAGACUAACUGAAGCGAAAGCGUUUGCCGAGGAUAUUUUCAUUAAUCAAGAACGAAAGUUAGAGGUUCGAAGGCGAUCAGAUACCGCCCUAGUUCUAACCAUAAACGUUGCCAACUAGCAAUUGGGUUGCGGUAGCUAUGGUAUUGUGUUCAACGAAAGUUAACCAAUACCUUUACGACCCGCCCAGCGGCUCUCGUAGGGAAACCAAAGUGUUUGGGUUCCGGGGGAAGUAUGAUUGCAAAGUUGAAACUUAAAGGAAUUGACGGAAGGGCACCACCAGGAGUGGAGCCUGCGGCUUAAUUUGACUCAACACGGGGAAACUUACUAGAUUAGAACUCUGGAAUGAUUGACAGAUUGAUAGCUCUUUCUUGAUUCAGAGGAUGGUGGUGCAUGGCCGUUCUUGAUUCGUAUUCCGAAACGUCUGCUUAAUUGCGAUAACGAGUGAGACCUCCCCCAGCUAACUAGGGUUAGGUGCUUGCUGGGCACUAAAUGUUUUUUUAAGGAGACUUCGGUUUCCUUUUAAAAGCAGCUCUACAUAUCAUCUAACGCCUUCUUAGAGGGAUAAACGGUGUUUUAGCCGUAAGAAACGAGGCAAUAACAGGUCUGUGAUGCCCUUAGAUACUCUAGGCCGCACGCGUGCUACAAUGGCGUGUGCAGAAAGCUUGUUCGAGGGUUUGCUUAGGAGAACUGUUAAGUUAGUUUUAAGUUGGGGUAACUUAGCUUGAAAUUGCUUGAUAAGUGACCUUUGAUUUAAACCCGAGAGAAACCGCUGCCGAAAGGUAGCGGCAAUCAAAAAUACACGCCGUGAUUUGGGAUUGGGGAUUGCAAUUGUUGCCCAUGAACGAGGAAUUCCCAGUAAGCGCAAUUCAUCAUAUUGCGUUGAUUACGUCCCUGCCCUUUGUACACACCGCCCGUCGCUACUACCGAUUGGAAGUUUUAGUGAGGCAUUUGGACCUGCUUUUAAUGCAAUUUCACGAUUGCUCUGAAGGCGGGGAAGUCUGUCGAACUCAAAUUUCUAGAGGAAGUAAAAGUCGUAACAAGGUUUCCGU
rnacentral:rRNA from 1 species